GCGCGCGGCCCGGCCCCCAGCGAGCCGCCGGCGUGGAGUUUGAUUUUAGCGCGCGGCCUGGAAGAGGCGGCACCCCGUGCGCCAGUGCCUUCCUCUGUGGCUUCCAGGAGUUGGCGCUUUGGCGGGAAUGGAUGAAGGGCCCUGUGGUUUCAGGGCGAAGGGAUGCGAAUCCAGGGGCCGACCGGUUGACCGUACAGGCUCAGAGUUCCAUCCUAGGGCCACCUCUGUUGGCUCUUAGAGGUGGCCAGCGCACGUAACGGAGCCCAGGUUUCCCACCCAGUUAUGGACGAAAAGAAGAAACACCUUUGAGGUGUCACCCACCCUAGGUCGGAAUGAUGAUCCGCUUCUUCGUGGCCUGGCUUUACCCCUGGACCCUCCAAAGGGAAAUCCUGUGGCGGCGCAGCCUCGACUGUUCCAUCUAUGAUGCAUCUAUCGCUGGGGUCCUGCCUCUGCUGUAGGGUUUUAAGACUUAUUUGCCCUGGCCCAUAAAGCCAAUAAACUAUGAUUCAAGGACAGAGGGCAGACACGUAAGGUUGACACUGAGCAGCAGGACAAGACUCCUAGAAAAGGGUGGAGCCAAAAACGGGAUGGAGUCUGGAUCCCUAAAUAACUGCUCCUCUCUCCAUUGAACUUCUGUGCACCACAAAAUGAAGCCUGAGUGAGUGAGGGGUAGAUUGAUGGAAGGCAACAUUGCCUCAGGAGUAACAAAAGAACUUCAGUGAUGGAGUAUGUAUCCUUCCCCUUGAAGUUAUUAACAUACCGCCAAAACAA